GAUGAACGCUGCGGCGUGCCUAACACAUGCAAGUCGAACGGAGAUUACGGACGGAAGUUUUCGGAUGGAAGUUUGUAAUUCUUAGUGGCGGACGGGUGAGUAACGCGUGGGCAACCUGCCCUAUACAGGGGGAUAGCAGCUGGAAACGGCUGGUAAGACCGCAUAAGUCGGCGAGACCGCAUGGUUUUGUCGGGAAAUGAGCAAUCAGGUAUAGGAUGGGCCCGCGUCCGAUUAGCCAGUUGGCAGGGUAAAAGCCUACCAAAGCGACGAUCGGUAGCCGGACUGAGAGGUCGGACGGCCACAUUGGGACUGAGACACGGCCCAAACUCCUACGGGAGGCAGCAGUGGGGGAUAUUGCACAAUGGAGGAAACUCUGAUGCAGCGACGCCGCGUGAGUGAAGAAGUAUUUCGGUAUGUAAAGCUCUAUCAGCAGGGAAGAUGAUGACGGUACCUGACUAAGAAGCCCGGCU
rnacentral:rRNA from 1 species